rnacentral:tRNA from 1 species
UGCUCUCUAGCUUAAUUGGUAAAGCGCCGCACUGUUAAUGCGGAACAUCGGGGUUCGACUCCCCGGGGAGCAG